AUACGUAGGGAGCGAGCGUUGUCCGGAAUUACUGGGCGUAAAGGGCGCGUAGGCGGCGCUUCAAGUCGUCUGUCAAAUGGGAGGGUUUAACCCUUUUUCGCAGACGAAACUGGAGAGCUUGAGAAGCAGAGAGGCAAACAGAAUUCCUGGUGUAGCGGUGAAAUGCGUAGAUAUCAGGAAGAAUACCAGUGGCGAAGGCGGUUUGCUGGCUGCAUACUGACGCUGAAGCGCGAAAGCCAGGGGAGCAAACGGGAUUAGAUACCCCGGUAGUCCUGGCAGUAAACGAUGUAUGCUGGGUGUGAGACUAGCGAUAGUUUCGUGCCGAAGUUAACGCGAUAAGCAUACCGCCUGGGGAGUGCGGUCGCAAGAUUGAAACUCAAAGGAAUUGACGGGG
rnacentral:rRNA from 1 species